CCAAGUUUCCUAAAUACAACAAUCUGACUAUGCCUAUGUAGUGCUAUGCUUGGCUGAAUCCGAUUUACGGAUCGCUCGGCUUGCAUUGCUGGGAAGUUUGGCAGUUUGUGAAUGAGAUCCAUGCCCGGGGACUAUGCCCCACUGCAUGGAUCGCCUGUAUGAUACAGAAAUGAGCUUGACGGUGCGGGCUGUAACACUCUUAUGGCCUGCGCUUGUCCUGUUCAUCCGCCGACUCUGACUGGAGUGGCCAUGUAGUCGCGUGCAGGUAGCAACGUGUUGCCCGUGACUUAUUGGCUGCGCCCUAUGAAUUGCAAAUGUUCAGUCAGAGACCCGGUACGUUGCAAACCUUCUCCCUUCGGGUGAGUCCUCUGUGUACUUCCAAAUAUUUUAAACAACCUUGGCUCGGUUCGGUUCUGCGUUGGUAGCAAUACUGACAAUGCGCCGUUCUGGCCCGGUGCGCGUUGCCUUCGGGUGACAAACGCCAACCUUA
rnacentral:misc_RNA from 1 species